GGACUGUAGUCUGCAACCGACUACACGAAGCUGGAAUCGCUAGUAAUCGCGAAUCAGAAUGCCGCGGUGAAUACGUUCCCGGGUCUUGUACACACCGCCCGUCACACCAUGGGAGUCGGAAAUGCCCGAAGUCUAUGACCCAACCAUUAAGGAGGGAGCAGCCGAAGGCAGGUCGGAUGACUGGGGUGAAGUCGUAACAAGGUAAC
rnacentral:rRNA from 1 species